AUCCUCCUGCCUCAGCCUCCUGAAUGCUGGGACCUGAGGAAACACCACCCCCAGCCCUGCAACUAAACCUGGAGAACUCCUACCUAUGCUUCAAAACCCCAGGGUUGGAAGGAGACACCAAGGUCAUCCAGGAAACUCGCUGAGUGUGAGAGUUUAGCUAAGAGUGAAUGGGGCCAAUGAGUCUCUGUCCUCGCAGACUCUGACCUUCAGGCUCUUUCCUCUGGCACUGGCGACCCCAGGAGUUUAUGAGGCGGACGGCCUCGGUUUCCCCUCAGGACACAGAGUUUCUCAGCCCCUGGGGCCUGGCAUCCAGCAAGCGCCUCCUGACCUCGGUCACGGUCACAGUCACGGGGUGCGGGGGCGGGGAGGCAGCUUCCGGUCAGGAGCGUGUGGGCCUCUCGGCCUCAGCUGGCCAGCUUCCUCCCGGGCCCUGG